UGCGCGCAGACGGCAAGACAUUCGCUUCACCACGAUCGUUUGGCUUUUUCCCCUUGACCCUGUCGAGAGGUCAGCCGUGACUACAGGGUGAUAAGGAAUAUAACUGAAAUCUGGCCAGAUGUGCUGAAUUGGAGGCUGUCUGAAUGGCAGCCAGCCAGUUCAAGAGGCUCACCUGACCCCCAUGACUCACCAGUUACCGACACUUUCCUCUCCAUGAACGGUUCCUUCCCGGUGCUCCGUGCUGCGGGUCUCAGCUCAUAGAGGGAGACAGAGGAGGAUACAGACAGAACCUAUUCCUUCUCCAUAUAAAAAUGCCAAACACUGAAAAUAGCUGAUACUUUUCAGCUUCAUUUCAACAGCAUUACUGAACAAACAUGCUGUUGUACUGAGGACACUGGAGAAGAAGUAAUCCUCAAAUGAAUAGACAAUAACAAAAAAAGGCACAUCCUUCUACCGGGCUGAAUGUGAUGUUGGAUUUGAGGGAGGAGAUUGUUUUAACAUCUCCUUAACAAGUGCUUAAGCAAUGUAAAGGACACAGCUUUAACUAAUCAGACAGAAACUGGCAUUGAUGUCAUGGAGUCACUUGAGGGCACUGAUAGCUUGAGGUGCUCAAAGGACACUGCAGAGCAAAACCCCCAGGCCUCCUGUAGAGGCAGAACUCACACCAGUGUAAAUGUUAAAGAAAAGACUCUUCAGUGUGAGGCAAAGCAAGGGGGCAGCAUUGUCAAAGGCUCACCAGACACGCCUACCUCUGGAACGUCACCACCACUAGAAAUC